rnacentral:rRNA from 1 species
UACGUAGGGUGCGAGCGUUGUCCGGAAUUAUCGGGCGUAAAGAGCUUGUAGGCGGUUUGUCGCGUCUGCUGUGAAAAUCCGGGGCUCAACCCCGGACUUGCAGUGGGUACGGGCAGACUAGAGUGUGGUAGGGGGAGACUGGAAUUCCUGGUGUAGCGGUGAAAUGCGCAGAUAUCAGGAGGAACACCGAUGGCGAAGGCAGGUCUCUGGGCCACUACUGACGCUGGAGAAGCGGAAAAGCAUGGGGAGCGAACAGG